rnacentral:tRNA from 1 species
GUCUAAUUGGCUAAAUAAAAAAUCGACUAAGCAUGUAGGACCGAGGAUGUAGGUUUUUUGGACGCGGGUUCAACUCCCGCCAGCUCCACCA